GGGGAAUGAGCAAGUUGGCACACGCGGUCGGCUGUUAACCGAUGAAUACCGGGUUCGACUCCCGGAUUCCCCGCCA
rnacentral:tRNA from 2 species